rnacentral:rRNA from 1 species
ACGGGUGAGUAACACGUAGGUAACCUGCCACUCAGACUGGGAUAACUACCGGAAACGGUAGCUAAGACCGGAUACGCUUACAGGAGGGCAUCUUCUUGUAAGGAAAAGCGGAGCAAUCUGCUGCUGAAUGAUGGACCUGCGGCGCAUUAGCUAGUUGGUGAGGUAGCGGCUCACCAAGGCGACGAUGCGUAGCCGACCUGAGAGGGUGAACGGCCACACUGGGACUGAGACACGGCCCAGACUCCUACGGGAGGCAGCAGUAGGGAAUCUUCGGCAAUGGACGGAAGUCUGACCGAGCAACGCCGCGUGAGUGAAGAAGGUUUUCGGAUCGUAAAACUCUGUUGCCAGGGAAGAAUGGUUGGGAGAGUAACUGCUCUUGACAUGACGGUACCUGAGAAGAAAGCCCCGGCUAACUACGUGCCAGCAGCCGCGGUAAUACGUAGGGGGCAAGCGUUGUCCGGAAUUAUUGGGCGUAAAGCGCGCGCAGGCGGUGAUUUAAGUCUGGUGUAUAACCCAAGGGCUCAACUCUUGGCGGCAUUGGAAACUGGAUGACUGGAGUGUAGGAGAGGAAAGUGGAAUUCCACGUGU